GACGAACGCUGGCGGCGUGCUUAACACAUGCAAGUCGAACGGAAAGGCCCUGCUUUUGUGGGGUGCUCGAGUGGCGAACGGGUGAGUAACACGUGAGUAACCUGCCCUUGACUUUGGGAUAACUUCAGGAAACUGGGGCUAAUACCGGAUAGGAGCUCCUGCUGCAUGGUGGGGGUUGGAAAGUUUCGGCGGUUGGGGAUGGACUCGCGGCUUAUCAGCUUGUUGGUGGGGUAGUGGCUUACCAAGGCUUUGACGGGUAGCCGGCCUGAGAGGGUGACCGGCCACAUUGGGACUGAGGUACGGCCCAGACUCCUACGGGAGGCAGCAGUGGGGAAUAUUGCACAAUGGGCGGAAGCCUGAUGCAGCAACGCCGCGUGCGGGGUGACGGCCUUCGGGUUGUAAACCGCUUUCGCCUGUGACGAAGCGUGAGUGACGGUAAUGGGUAAAGAAGCACCGGCUAACUACGUG
rnacentral:rRNA from 1 species